GAUCCAGGCUGGAGUUGCGCUCGGCCGGUCUGAGCGCUGGCGCUGCCCGGACGCCACGGGGUCCCCGCCAGCCCAGGGCACUCGGCGCGGGGAUCUGCGCGCCUCGCUCUCCCUUCCCGAUGCCGCCGCCCGGCUGCUGAUCGCCGCACCACCUUCCCUCAUCGGCUUGGGUCCGUGGAGGUCCCUGCAGAGGCAGGAAGCCUCCUUAGGAAAGCAGGGAUGGAGGUAAAUUGUUUAACACUAAAAGACCUGAUCAGCCCCAGGCAGCCCAGACUAGAUUUUGCAGUUGAAGAUGGGGAAAAUGCACAAAAGGAAAAUAUAUUUGUUGAUCGAUCAAGGAUGGCCCCGAAGACUCCAAUAAAAAAUGAACCAAUUGAUUUAUCGAAGCAAAAAAAAUUUACUCCAGAAAGAAAUCCCAUUACUCCAGUUAAGCUUGUUGACAGACAGCAAGCGGAACCAUGGACACCCACAGCUAACCUGAAGAUGCUCAUUAGUGCUGCCAGCCCAGAUAUAAGGGACCGGGAGAAGAAAAAGGGACUAUUCCGACCCAUUGAAAACAAGGACGAUGCAUUUACAGAUUCUCUACAGCUUGAUGUUGUUGGGGACAGUGCUGUGGACGAAUUUGAAAAGCAAAGGCCAAGCAGAAAACAGAAAAGUUUAGGACUCCUGUGCCAGAAGUUUCUAGCUCGCUAUCCAAGUUAUCCCUUGUCAACUGAGAAAACUACCAUCUCCCUAGAUGAAGUUGCUGUCAGUCUUGGUGUGGAAAGGAGACGCAUCUAUGACAUUGUAAAUGUGCUGGAGUCGCUGCAUCUGGUCAGCCGGGUGGCUAAGAAUCAGUAUGGCUGGCAUGGACGGCACAGCCUGCCAAAAACCCUGAGGAACCUCCAGAGACUAGGAGAGGAGCAGAAAUAUGAAGAGCAAAUGGCCUACCUCCAACAGAAAGAGCUGGACCUGAUAGAUUAUAAAUUUGGAGAACGUAAAAAAGAUGGUGAUCCAGAUUCCCAGGAACAACAGUUAUUGGAUUUCUCUGAACCCGACUGUCCCUCUUGUGAGUCCAUUGUAACUUCAUGAGUAAUGGCAGAGAAAGAGCAAGUGAUGGUAUCUUCUGCAGAUUCACUGCUCAGAUGGGAAGUGCCAGGUUGACAACCCUGGAGGGAGAUGUUCUCUUAUUCUCCUCACUGAAGAAAGAGAAGCAGAUGGCUCCCCAACUGGACUGCCCACUUGACCUCAUUCAAAUAAACCUGGCUCAUGGCAGUUCACUCGAGUUUGGCCUGUUGGGAGAAUAGAUCACUAGCAUUACUCCCAUUUUUAGAUUGGCAGCCCCAUGCUGGUUCUUUUUGUGCAACUGUAAGAUUUACUUUGAAAAAGUUAUAUUUUCAAAGAAUUUUAUCUAAUUAUAUAUUGGAGUAGACUUAGACUACUUAGAAAAGAACUCCAUUCACAGAAAAUGUUGAUAAGAC
rnacentral:sRNA from 1 species